AACGAACGCUGGCGGCAUGCCUAACACAUGCAAGUCGAACGAGACAUUCGGGCCUAGUGGCGUAUGGGUGGGUAACGGGUGGGAUCAUGCCCUUAGGUUCGGCAUAACUCCUCGAAGGGGGUGCUAAUACGGGAUAAUGUCUUCGGCCCAAGGAGUUAUCGCCUUUGGGUGGGCUGAGUUGGAUUAGCUAGUUGCUAGGGUAAAAGCCUACCAAGGCGUCGAUUCAUAGCUGGUCUUAGAGGAUGAUCAGCCACACUGGGACUGAGAGACGGCCCAGACUCCUGCGGAAGGCAGCAGUGGGGAAUAUUGGACGAUGGGCGAAAGCCUGAUCCAGCAAUGCCGCGUGAGUGAUGAAGGCCUUAAGGUUGUAUAGCUCUUUUACCCGUGAUGAUAAUGACAGUACCGGGAGAAUAAGCGCCGGCUAACUCCGUG
rnacentral:rRNA from 1 species